rnacentral:rRNA from 1 species
UACGGAGGGGGCUAGCGUUGUUCGGAAUUACUGGGCGUAAAGGGCGCGUAGGCGGCGCGAUAAGUUGGGCGUGAAAGGCCCGGGCUCAACCCGGGGACUGCGCUUGAUACUGUCGCGCUGUGAGUCCGGGAGAGGAUGGCGGAAUUCCCAGUGUAGAGGUGAAAUUCGUAGAUAUUGGGAAGAACACCGGUGGCGAAGGUGGCCAUCUGGACCGGCACUGACGCUGAGGCGCGAAAGCGUGGGGAGCAAACAGG